GGCCUGUGGUUACUGGAUGCUGUUUUCAUAUAGUUCUCCAGUAGAUAGAAGGCAUAAUAACAAUUCUUUGCUUUUUGCAUGGGAGUUAUACUUUCUCAGCAACAUCCACAGCCUAGUCACUGAGACAUGA